CUGUUCGUCAGGCUACUAGUUGCCCAAGACUUGGGGAAACCUGCCAGAGGGGGCCCCAAAGCAAACUCCUGCUUUCAGGAGGUCUGCAGGUGAGCCAGCCUCUUUGGGCAUCUCUAGGUGGGCUUGUUCUGGGAUACCUGAGUUUUGAUCUCAGCCCUGAGAGCAGAGAAACGCGGAAGCAAGGAGAUUCAGGAAGAGAAGCCAGAUGUUGACCUCUAUGGCCUCCUCUGGGGAGGAUGAAGAGAAGGCUCGUAGAAAGAAUGAAGACAGGAGGACGACAGACCUGCUUCUCAGCUGGAGGACUUUUAGGGCUAAGCACUAGCAUGGACUAAGGAGUCGAAAAUACAAACCACGUGACCUGAGUGCUGAGCCGCCGAGACAGAAUUUGCUAUUUAGGCUGAGCAUGGUGUUGCACACAUGUUAUCUCCGCACCCAAGCCACUGGCAGGAAGAUUACCUGGUCUAAAAAUAAAUAAAUAAAUGAAAAAUCCUUCACCCGGGGCAUA